rnacentral:lncRNA from 1 species
UCCCUGACCUGCUCCCAGGGACAGCAGUACUGACCCCUCCUGCCACAUGGCAGAGCCUCCCCACCCAAUAGCACCCACUGGACAAGGCAGGCUCCUGGCCUUGGCCCCUCGGGAGGGUGAGGAAGCCCCUCCUCUUGGCAGGGGGACCCCAGCCCGGCUCCCCCUCACACUGGCUCCGUGACUCCAUUCCAGUAACCCCGGCAAUGGGGACAAAAGCCACAACCAUCCGGGGCUUCCUAAUUGCCGGAGCACGUGUUUCAGGGCCCAGGCCCAGGGUCACUCAGGCCCCUGUUCAGACUCCAGCCUGUCCCCUGCACCCAGAGCUGUGGCUUGGGAACCAGGCCCGGGGACAGAGGCGGGGCUGAGGCUGGGCGGGAGGGGCUAUCUGUGCUGGUGGCAUCUAGAUGGGCUCAGGGGGAACAGGAACAACGCGGGUGGAUAGGGACCCCAGGCAGGGCCUGGGCAGGAGGUAACCUCACUCGUGGGGGGAGGCCAGGGGGGUCAGACUGGGUCGGCCUGGUCCAGAGUGCGGUGCCAGCAGGUCAUGCUGGCUGCCUGCAGAGGGGGGUCCUCGUGGGUGACGGAGGCCAGGGACCAGGCAGCCUGGGGCCUCCGUGGGGAGUGACUUCCUGUUUGUCUAGUGAGGCCGGGAGGCAGGGCCUGGGCCAGGCCGAGGACAGUGUCCAGCAUGCCCACUGCCCCCGCGGCUCUGAGCAGGCCUGGUUGGGGCCGCGCUCUCCUUGCUCUGCUCCUGACUCGGGGUCACUCAGGCCUGGCCUGUGUCCUGCCAGCAGCCCUCACUCGCACUGGGACCCCGGAGAGGCGCCCGGCACUCUCUGGCCUCCACGACGGGGCUACCGUCCCCAUUAUCCUGCUUCAGCAGCAAGGAGGGGACGAGGGGGCGGUGGCGCUGGGCAGGAGCCGCCCUGGGUCCAGUGUCCCCGCUGCGCCCAGGGUCGAGCCAGGCCACUGGGCGGAGCCUGUGCCCGGGAAGCGAGCCGAGUGCCCUGCUCGAGACCCAGGCCACCUUGGACACUGGACAAGGACCGGAACCUCAUCCCCACAAACGUACAGAGCGAGCUGACGAGAGCCCAAGGGGCCCUGGGCUCACCCGGGUCCCCGCCCAGCGGUCCCGAUUAGGAAGCAGACGGAAGCGCGGGAACGUCCUGAGCUUUACUCCUCGGCUCG